ACGGAGGGGGCUAGCGUUAUUCGGAAUUACUGGGCGUAAAGCGCACGUAGGCGGACUGGAAAGUUGGGGGUGAAAGCCCAGGGCUCAACCCUGGAACUGCCUUCAAAACUCCCAGUCUUGAGGUCGAGAGAGGUGAGUGGAAUUCCGAGUGUAGAGGUGAAAUUCGUAGAUAUUCGGAGGAACACCAGUGGCGAAGGCGGCUCACUGGCUCGAUACUGACGCUGAGGUGCGAAAGCGUGGGGAGCAAACAGGA
rnacentral:rRNA from 1 species